GGCUCAGGAUGAACGCUAGCGGCAGGCUUAAUACAUGCAAGUCGUGGGGCAGCAGGUUUGUAGCAAUCAGAUGCUGGCGACCGGCAAACGGGUGCGGAACACGUACAGAACCUUCCUUUGAGCGGGGAAUAGCCCAGAGAAAUUUGGAUUAAUACCCCAUAGUAUAAUGAAGUGGCAUCACUUUAUUAUUAAAGAUUUAUCACUCGAAGAUGGCUGUGCGGCUGAUUAGGUAGUUGGCGGGUAAAGGCCCACCAAGCCUGCGAUCAGUGACUGGUGUGAGAGCACGACCAGUCACACGGGCACUGAGACACGGGCCCGACUCCUACGGGAGGCAGCAGUAAGGAAUAUUGGUCAAUGGAGGCAACUCUGAACCAGCCAUGCCGCGUGGAGGAUGAAGGUCCUCUGGAUUGUAAACUUCUUUUAUAUGGGACGAAAAAGGCUUUUCUAAGUCGUCUGACGGUACCAUAUGAAUAAGCACCGGCUAACUCCGUG
rnacentral:rRNA from 1 species